rnacentral:rRNA from 1 species
CUUGCUUCUUGGGUGACGAGCGGCGGACGGGUGAGUAACGCGUGGGAAUCUACCUGGUAGUGGGGGACAACAGUCGGAAACGACUGCUAAUACCGCAUACGCCCUUUGGGGGAAAGUGGGGGAUCUUCGGACCUCACGCUAUCAGAAGAGCCCGCGUCGGAUUAGCUGGUUGGUGGGGUAAGAGCCUACCAAGGCGAUGAUCCGUAGCUGGUCUGAGAGGAUGACCAGCCACACUGGGACUGAGACACGGCCCAGACUCCUACGGGAGGCAGCAGUGGGGAAUAUUGGACAAUGGGGGCAACCCUGAUCCAGCCAUGCCGCGUGUGUGAAGAAGGCCUUCGGGUUGUAAAGCACUUUCAGCUGUGAGGAAAGGUGAGUGGUUAAUACCCGCUUACUGUGACGUUAACAGCAGAAGAAGGACCGGCUAACUCCGUGCCAGCAGCCGCGGUAAUACGGAGGGUCCGAGCGUUAAUCGGAAUUACUGGGCGUAAAGCGCGCGUAGGUGGUUCAGUCAGUCAGAUGUGAAAGCCCCGGGCUCAACCUGGGAACUGCACCUGAUACUGCUGAGCUAGAGUACGGUAGAGGGCAGUGGAAUUUCCG